rnacentral:lncRNA from 1 species
CCUGCUAAAUCAGAGAUGCCAUAUAUAUAGCAAUAACCUAAACCUUCUUCUGAGUUUCUUAUGUAUAUGAAUUAUUCAUUGAUAAAUAAAAAUUAUUUUGACAUUAUUUAUCACAAAAUUGCAUCUUUUUUGUAGAACUCUUAUAUUUUGAUGAAAUCCUUAGAAUUAUAUUUGUAAUCGAUAAAAGAAGAUGUAUCGUAUAGUUCUUAAACAUAUUUGUGACCAAAUGAUACGUUAUUAUA